rnacentral:rRNA from 1 species
CCUACGGGAGGCAGCAGUGGGGGAUAUUGCACAAUGGGGGGAACCCUGAUGCAGCGACGCCGCGUGGGUGAAGGAGUGCUUCGGCAUGUAAAGCCCUAUCGGCAGGGAAGAAGCAAGACGGUACCUGACUAAGAAGCCCCGGCUAACUACGUGCCAGCAGCCGCGGUAAUACGUAGGGGGCGAGCGUUAUCCGGAUUCACUGGGUGUAAAGGGAGCGUAGACGGCCAAGCAAGCCAGGGGUGAAAGCCCGGGGCCCAACCCCGGGACUGCCCUUGGAACUGCAUGGCUGGAGUGCGGGAGGGGCAGGCGGAAUUCCUGGUGUAGCGGUGAAAUGCGUAGAUAUCAGGAGGAACACCGGCGGCGAAGACGGCCUGCUGGACCGCGACUGACGUUGAGGCUCGAAAGCGUGGGGAGCAAACAGGAUUAGAUACCCUAGUAGUC